AAUAGCUCAGUUGGUAGAGCAAUCGGCUGUUAACCGAUCGGUCGUAGGUUCGAGUCCUACUUCAAGCGCCA
rnacentral:tRNA from 1 species